CCCGCUCAGAAACUCAAAUGAAUUGACGGGGGCCCGCACAAGCGGUGGAGCAUGUGGUUUAAUUCGAUGAUACGCGAGGAACCUUACCUGGGCUCAAAUGUAUGUUGACGUAUUCUGAAAGGGAUACUUCUUCGGACAAUAUACAAGGUGCUGCAUGGUUGUCGUCAGCUCGUGCCGUGAGGUGUCGGGUUAAGUCCCAUAACGAGCGCAACCCCUACCUUUAGUUGCCAUCAGGUAAUGCUGGGGACUCUAAAGGAACUGCCUACGCAAGUAGUGAGGAAGGCGGGGAUGACGUCAAAUCAGCACGGCCCUUACGUCCAGGGCUACACACGUGCUACAAUGGCCGAUACAGAGGGCAGCUACCUGGUGACAGGAUGCAAAUCUCCAAAGUCGGUCUCAGUUCGGAUCGGAGUCUGCAACCCGACUCCGUGAAGUUGGAUUCGCUAGUAAUCGCGCAUCAGCCAUGGCGCGGUGAAUACGUUCCCGGGCCUU
rnacentral:rRNA from 1 species